rnacentral:lncRNA from 1 species
GACUUGCUGGUUGCAACUUCAAAGAACCGCCUGUAGCAUAAAUUCUUAGACCUUUAUGACUACAUGUGAACAUCACAUAUCUCAUAACUUCAUCGUCCCCCUUUUUUGAAUUCAUUUUCUCACUGGAAAACCUAUGGCAUAAGCAUAUCUUUUGUAGGAGUCUAACAUUUUUUUUCACUACUAAACAUCAUUCCCACCUCAGGCUUAGUUGCAAAAUCUCUUUCCAAUUUUUCAUUGUUCAAUGUGUUCAAAUUGGCCAUUAUGCUCUUGUUAUCCCAUUUUACCAAUAGA